AUGGACUUCGACGAGUACGAGUACCUCGAGAAGACGGUCGAGGCCUCCGCGGCGGCCCCGGCCAACGGAUCCGACGGGAAGGAGCGCAGCUCCCGCCGCCGGAGCAGCGCCGGCGACGGGGAGGACCGCGACGACGGCGAGCGCCGGUCCAAGCGCUCUCGCUCCGAGCACCGCGACCGCGACCGUGACCUUGAGAGCCGGGAGCGCCACCGCAGCAGCCGGGAGCGCCGGGACCGGGACGUGAGGGAGAAGGAGAGGCUGAGCAGGGAGAGCGAGCGGGAGAGGGAGAAGGAGAGGGAGCGGAGGAGCCGCGACCGCGACCGCGAGCGGGAGAAGGAGCGGGAGAGGGAGCGGAGGAGCCGCAGCCGGUCGGAGCGUCGUCGUGAUGACGGCGAGCGAGAGCGAGAGCGCUUCCGUGAGCGCGACUUCCGUGACCGUGACGUCAGACGUAGGAAAGAAGAUGGUGCCGAACCUGAAGCAGAUCCAGAAAGAGAUCAAAGAACUGUAUUUGCCUUCCAGCUAUCUUUGAAGGCGGAUGAAAGAGAUGUGUAUGAGUUCUUCUCAAGGGCCGGGAAGGUCCGGGAUGUACGCUUAAUAAUGGAUCGAAACUCACGACGUUCUAAAGGCGUUGGGUACAUUGAAUUUUAUGAUGCUAUGUCGGUUCCAAUGGCGAUUGCUCUUAGAGGUCAGCCGCUUCUUGGUCAACCAGUGGACGUUAAGCCAUCAGAGGCUGAAAAGAAUCUUGUUCAGUCCAAUGCUUCAUCAAGUGUAGCAGCUUCAGGUGGGGCAAGGAAGUUGUAUGUUGGAAAUCUUCACUCCAAUAUUACAGAGGAGCAAUUGAGACUGGUCUUUGAACCAUUUGGACUGGUUGAGCUUGUCCAGCUGCCCGUAGACCCACUUACUGGAUUAUGUAAAGGUUUUGGUUUUGUGCAGUUUGCACGGCUGGAAGAUGCAAAAGCUGCUCAGAGUUUAAAUGGUCAACUUGAUAUUGCUGGAAAAGUAAUCAAGGUUUCAGCUGUGACGGAGCAACCGGGAGUGCAAGCCAGUGGGGCAACUGCAGGCGAUUUGGAUGAUGAUGAAGGUGGAGGCUUGGCACUGAAUGCUAGCUCGCGAGCUCUUCUUAUGCAGAAACUGGACCGUAGUGGCGCUACCACCAGUUUGACUUCUGGGUUGGGUGCUUCUGCCGUGGCAUUACCGCCUGUGUCAGUUCUUGGUGCUCCUGCAACCGGUCCUGUGCUACAGCCUACAGUGCCUGGUCUUGGUUUAAUUCCAGGGGCAUCUAUUCCGGUUAUUACCCAGUCCGUUGACACGGCUCCACCUAGUGAAUGCCUAUUGCUCAAGAAUAUGUUUGAUCCAGCUGUGGAGACGGAUCCUGAUUUUGAUUUAGAUAUUAGAGAUGAUGUUCGAGAAGAAUGUUCUAAGUUUGGCCAAGUAAGACACAUUUUUGUAGACAAAAAUACCACAGGCUUUGUGUACCUGCGGUUCGAUAGCAUAACGGCCGCCAUGGGUGCACAGAAAGCACUUCAAGGGAGAUGGUUUGCGGGAAAGAUGAUUACUGCAACAUUUAUGUCCACUCAGCAGUAUGAAAUGAAGUUCCCAGAGUGA
rnacentral:rRNA from 1 species